rnacentral:rRNA from 1 species
GUAGGUGGCAAGAGUUGUCCGGAAUUAUUGGGCGUAAAGCGCGCGCAGGCGGUUCUUUAAGUCUGAUGUGAAAGCCCACGGGCUCAACCGUGGAGGGUCAUUGGAAACUGGAGAACUUGAGUACAGAAGAGGAAAGCGGAAUUCCACGUGUAGCGGUGAAAUGCGUAGAGAUGUGGAGGAACACCAGUGGCGAAGGCGGCUUUCUGGUCUGUAACUGACGCUGAGGCGCGAAAGCGUGGGGAGCAAACAGGAUUAGAUACCCUGGUAGUCCACGCCGUAAACGAUGAGUGCUAAGUGUUAGGGGGUUUCCGCCCCUUAGUGCUGCAGCUAACGCAUUAAGCACUCCGCCUGGGGAGUACGGCCGCAAGGCUG